ACGUACACUCCUGCGGGAGGCAGCAGUGGGGAAUAUUGCACAAUGGGCGCAAGCCUGAUGCAGCCAUGCCGCGUGUAUGAAGAAGGCCUUCGGGUUGUAAAGUACUUUCAGCGGGGAGGAAGGCAAUACGGUUAAUAACCGUGUUGAUUGACGUUACCCGCAGAAGAAGCACCGGCUAACUCCGUGCCAGCAGCCGCGGUAAUACGGAGGGUGCAAGCGUUAAUCGGAAUUACUGGGCGUAAAGCGCACGCAGGCGGUCUGUCAAGUCGGAUGUGAAAUCCCCGGGCUCAACCUGGGAACUGCAUUCGAAACUGGCGGGCUUGAGUCUUGUAGAGGGGGAUAGAAUUCCAGGUGUAGCGGUGAAAUGCGUAGAGAUCUGGAGGAAUACCGGUGGCGAAGGCGGCCCCCUGGACAAAGACUGACGCUCAGGUGCGAAAGCGUGGGGAGCAAACAGGAUUAGAAACCCCGGUAGUCCCA
rnacentral:rRNA from 1 species